CCUACGGGAGGCUGCAGUGGGGAAUAUUGGACAAUGGGGGCAACCCUGAUCCAGCCAUGCCGCGUGUGUGAAGAAGGCCCUCGGGUUGUAAAGCACUUUCAGUGAGGAAGAACGCCUGGUGGUUAAUACCCAUCAGGAAAGACAUCACUCACAGAAGAAGCACCGGCUAACUCCGUGCCAGCAGCCGCGGUAAUACGGAGGGUGCGAGCGUUAAUCGGAAUUACUGGGCGUAAAGCGCGCGUAGGUGGCUUGAUAAGCCGGUUGUGAAAGCCCCGGGCUCAACCUGGGAACGGCAUCCGGAACUGUCAAGCUAGAGUGCAGGAGAGGAAGGUAGAAUUCCCGGUGUAGCGGUGAAAUGCGUAGAGAUCGGGAGGAAUACCAGUAGCGAAGGCGGCCUUCUGGACUGACACUGACACUGAGGUGCGAAAGCGUGGGUAGCAAACAGGAUUAGAUACCCGUGUAGUC
rnacentral:rRNA from 1 species